AAGAGGACCUCUUAUUUAGUAUAGUGGAUUUGAUAAUAAGAGACGGUACGUGUCACGUUUUUGUUGGGCAAACCGAGUAACGAAGAAAUUUUUUUUUUUGAUGGUCAAUCGUUUUUUUUUCUCUCUCUCGAUCGAAGUGACGAAUUGACCAUGGAAGAAGAUGGAAUCAGAGGAGAUUCGGGUCGGAUGAGAUGCGAAGGAGAUUGAAUCGGCGGAGGCUAAUCGGAGGAGAUUGAGAAACACAAGAAGAGUAUGACGCCAUCACAAUCACCUAAGGAGAGCGAGACGCGCUAAAGCUUUUCUGAUCAACGUUUAUUUGUGAAUCUAGGGAACUUUUUGGGUGAAGAUUUUGUAGAAUCGUGAUGGGUUUAUCGAAAGGUAGAUUGAAAGCAUGGUUUAAUAAAAAAAUCAUUGAUCAUCUUCCUCCAGGUAUUGCGUAGGUUUGUCUUCUUUGGACUCUCUCUCUCUCUCUCUCUCUCUCUACUCGUUUUGUAUGAUCAUCAUCGUAUCUGUACAUGGAUCUGGAAGUAGGACUAGAUUGGUUACUCUGAUUCUGCUAAUUGAUUUAGAUUCCAUGUGCUAUUUUGUUGAAUUUUUGGUCUUUUAUAAGCUGGAGUUGUGCAUUUUGCUUCUUCUUGGUUUCUUAAUUUGGAAUAUUGACGAUGAUGGUGAUACUGAUGCAUUAUGACGGUGAUGGUGAUACUGAUGCAUCUCCCAAGGUACUGCCUUCGAGUCAUGUGGUUCAGGAACUGGAAGAAGGGUUCUCUAUGAAUCUUCCAAGAUUCUUGCUCAGAAAAUGACUGUCGUUGUGAAACAAUGCAGCAUAAGCGGUUUGGGAAAAAGGCACCAAAGGAUAUUAAGAGUUUGGCAGCGAUAUAUAUGCAAGGAAUGUUGGACAUCUCUCCCUCAAAGAUGACAUAAAGAGGCAGCAUUACAUUCCCGAUGAUCAAACUUGAAUAGUGUCUGAAGCAAACUAUUAGAGCAAGCACAUCGGUAAUAUUAGAUAAAGUAAGACACUCUCAGACCCUUGCUUGCUUGUCUGUCACCAUUUGAUUGCUCCAUUUAAAAACAAAAAUAAUUAAUUAAAUUAAAUAAAAGUUUUGUAUUAAAAUAUUAAUAAAAUCAAUAUAGUAUCUAAAUUUUCAAGGUUUGCCGAUGUACAUGCCCUUAAUACUCUUAUUUAUGGUAAUGUGCAACAUGAUAUUGCUUAAAUAUUAAAAUCAGACAAUGUCAUUGGAAUGCCCAAGUUGUUGUGACACCCAAAGUGUUUGGUUCUGAUCCGCAAAUGCUUCGCUGCUUGUCCGUUGACCUUCACCUUACUGGUAUCUUCAGCUGACUUUU